GGGCGCAUGGUCUAGGGGUAUGAUUUUCGCUUCGCAUGUAAUAUGCUUGUGAAAGGCCGCGGGUUCAAAUCGUGAGUGUUUCA
rnacentral:tRNA from 1 species